UACGAAGGGGGCUAGCGUUGUUCGGAAUCACUGGGCGUAAAGGGCGCGUAGGCGGCCGAUCAAGUCGGGGGUGAAAGCCUGUGGCUCAACCACAGAAUUGCCUUCGAUACUGUUUGGCUUGAGACCGGAAGAGGUAAGUGGAACUGCGAGUGUAGAGGUGAAAUUCGAUAGAUAUUCGCAAGAACACCAGUGGCGAAGGCGGCUCACUGGCCCGAUACUGACGCUGAGGCACGAAAGCGUGGGAGCAACAGG
rnacentral:rRNA from 1 species